rnacentral:lncRNA from 1 species
ACACAGCAACCCAGCAGACAGCACAGAACACACGAUGUGGCAUCACAACACAUACAGUCAAGGCAGCAGAACAAAGGACACACUAUGCAGCAACGCAACAACGUUGGCAGCCAGCAGAUGACACAAUGCAAAAUCACAUGCAGUGCCUGACAACUCUACAAUCUCACCCAGAAAUAUCUCAACACAACACGUAGCAUCUGGCCGUCCAACAGCUGAACAGACCAUAGUAAAUACUGAACAA